rnacentral:rRNA from 1 species
UUGUAGUAUCGCAUGAUAUAGCAAUUAAAGGAGCAAUCCGCUAUAAGAUGGACCCGCGUCGCAUUAGCUAGUUGGUGAGGUAAUGGCUCACCAAGGCGGACGAUGCGUAGCCGACCUGAGAGGGUGAUCGGCCACACUUGGGACUGAGACACGGCCCAGACUCCUACGGGAGGCAGCAUG